rnacentral:misc_RNA from 1 species
GAUGAAGAACGCAGUGAAAUGCGAAAAGUAAUGUGAAUUGCAGAAUUCAGUGAAUCAUCGAAUCUUUGAACGCACAUUGCGCCCGCUGGUACUCCGGCGGGCACGCCUGUCCGAGCGUCAUUUCAACCCUCAAGCCCUCCUUCGGGAUGGGCCUGGUGUUGGGGCUCGGCCGCCAUCUCCGGCGGCCGUCCCCUAAAUACAGUGGCGGUCACGUCGCGACUCCUUUGCGUAGUAGAAACACCUCGCUCCGGAUAGCAACGCGGUCCACGCCGUAAAAUCCCCAAUUUUCAAUGGUUGACCUCGGAUCAGGUGGGAAUACCCGCUGAACUUAAGCAUAUCAAUAAGCGGAGGA